UACGGGGGAUGCAAGCGUUAUCCGGAAUCACUGGGCGUAAAGCGUCUGUAGGUGGUUCAGUAAGUCUGCUGUUAAAUAUUGGGGCUUAACCCUAACCAAGCAGUGGAAACUACUAAACUAGAGUAUGGUAUGGGUAGAGGGAAUUCCCAGUGUAGCGGUGAAAUGCGUAGAUAUUGGGAAGAACACCAGUAGCGAAGGCGCUCUGCUAGGCCAUUACUGACACUCAGAGACGAAAGCUAGGGUAGCGAAUGGG
rnacentral:rRNA from 1 species